UGGUUUGGUUCGUUCUUCCUCCCCAAGAUUCGUGCCUCUCUGUGCAUUAAUUCCAAGACCUUUCCCUCUUUUUUGGCUUUUAUCUUGUGCUCUUUUAUCACCUAAUGAGUUCUCUUUAAGAGUCCAAUAGGCCACAAAAUGUAUUAUUAUUUGUUUUUCUUUUACGUUUGUGUUUUUUUACUCUUUUUUUCAUUCGUUUUUUCUUC
rnacentral:lncRNA from 1 species